GAUGAAGAACGCAGCGAAAUGCGAUAAGUAAUGUGAAUUGCAGAAUUCAGUGAAUCAUCGAAUCUUUGAACGCACCUUGCGCUCUUUGGUAUUCCGAAGAGCAUGCCUGUUUGAGUGUCAUGAAAAUAUCAACCUUGACUUGGGUUUUGUGCUCUAGUCUCGGCUUGGAAUUGGGUGCUUGCCGCUUUUACGAGCGGCUCACCUUAAAUGUAUUAGCUGGAUCUGUCUUUGAGACUUGGUUUGACUUGGCGUAAUAAGUAUUUCGCUAAGGACAUUCUUCGGAGUGGCCUCGUUUCUAGGACGCUUGUCCGCUUUCCAAUACAAGUUCCACCUCGUGGACAUGACUUUUUAUUAUCUGGCCUCAAAUCAGGUAGGACUACCCGCUGAACUUAAGCAUAUCAAUAAGCGGAGG
rnacentral:misc_RNA from 1 species